CCUACGGGUGGCAGCAGUCGAGAAUCAUUCACAAUGGGGGAAACCCUGAUGGUGCGACGCCGCGUGGGGGAAUGAAGGUCUUCGGAUUGUAAACCCUUGUCAUGUGGGAGCAAAUUAAAAAGAUAGUACCCCAAGAGGAAGAGACGGCUAACUCUGUGCCAGCAGCCGCGGUAAUACAGAGGUCUCAAGCGUUGUUCGGAAUCACUGGGCGUAAAGCGUGCGUAGGCUGUUUCGUAAGUCGUGUGUGAAAGGCGCGGGCUCAACCCGCGGACGGCACAUGAUACUGCGAGACUAGAGUAAUGGAGGGGGAACCGGAAUUCUCGGUGUAGCAGUGAAAUGCGUAGAUAUCGAGAGGAACACUCGUGGCGAAGGCGGGUUCCUGGACAGUAACUGACGCUGAGGCACGAAGGCCAGGGGAGCGAAAGGGAUUAGAUACCCCUGUAGUC
rnacentral:rRNA from 1 species